rnacentral:lncRNA from 1 species
GGUUUUAGGCAGGAACGGUUGAGAAGUGGAGGCGUAACUUCCAUGAUCAUGGUUACAACCACUCCCCCCACUACUUUCAACUGACCAAUAAUGUGGGCUGAGAAGAAAUCACUAUAAAUAGGAACUUCAAAGCCUGUAAUAAAGAUCUUUCACCCCCCUGAACGAGAAGACCACCCUUAUUUCCUUACAAUUUUAUCGCUUUUCUAGGAGUAGUCUAAAUGUAAUCUUUUCUUUUUCGCAUUUACUUCUUUCCUAGGAGUAGUUUUUAAGUAGAACCCUGGAGUCUGUCUGCCCCACGGGCAUCACUCCGUUGUAAACUACAUAUUUGUAGAGUCGAAGGGCACACUCUGUUUUAUUAAUAUAUAUAUUUAGGUAUUCGGCUUUUUUAGCUGACCAAUCAUUGUGUAUUUCAUUUAUUCGGCUAUUUCAGCCGACCAGUUACUGUGUACUUCUUCCAUUCGGCUCUUCUGCAGACAUUGAUCCCUACACAGUUCAUACAUUUGGCUCAUCCAGCCGAACCGAUUCUACAGUAAAGGUUUUCGAACUCGGCUGAUCCGAUCCCUCGUCAGCCGAAUCGCUUGAUCCAGUCGAAGGGCGCAAACUUCGAGGGUCACUAAUCGUAGCCGUUCAGCAUCCCGACGCGCUUCUCGAGGAAGAUCUUUGACCGGGUCAAGCGUCGGAAAAUUCAGCUACCAACACCUCUUUAUCUUGAAAGUGAUUGUAUUAAACAAAAAAAGAUGAAUCUCAGCAUGUAAAAUUUGAAAUAAUAUUAAAUCAUACUUAUAAAAACUAACUGUCAUGCCCCGGGGUCCCUUUUUUUUUAAAAGCAAUGCGGAAGUGCCCAAAUUUUUUAUUUUUUUAAAAAACCUAAACUCCAGGGUAUGCCAGAUCCGCCACAAAUAUAGGGAGUCCACUGUUCACACGGACAGAGUCUCCCCUGUAUUUACACGGCGUCACACAAGUAAAAUAUAUACAAAACAAGAUACAACCACCAUCUAUGAACAUACACAUAUUCGUCCACCAUUCAUAUUCAGAAUUUAUUCAUAAAUCCACAACUAUUAGUUUAAAAUGUUUCAUACCCGGAAACUCGUUUUAAAACACUAAGUCAUGAAAAUCGAGAAAAGCCCUUUUUAAAAAUCGUUUCCCACACGAAAAUCUUUUCUUUUUAAAACUCGCUACCACGAGUGGUAGAAAACUAUUUUCAGUUUACAAGAAUCACAAAUUCUUUAUUAUAUUCAUAAAAUCCCAAUAAUUUCAUUCAUAUAAAAUAUUGAACCAUAAAUGCUGUCUAAGUCAUUU